GGAUGCGAUCAUACCAGCACUAAUGCACCGGAUCCCAUCAGAAACUCCGAAGUUAAGCGUGUUGGGCGAGAGUAGUACUAGGAUGGGUGACCCCCUGGGAAGUCCUCGUGUUGCAUCCC
rnacentral:rRNA from 1 species